GACGAACGCUGGCGGCGUGCCUAAUACAUGCAAGUUGAGCGCUGAAGGUUGGUACUUGUACCAACUGGAUGAGCAGCGAACGGGUGAGUAACGCGUGGGGAAUCUGCCUUUGAGCGGGGGACAACAUUUGGAAACGAAUGCUAAUACCGCAUAAAAACUUUAAACACAAGUUUUAAGUUUGAAAGAUGCAAUUGCAUCACUCAAAGAUGAUCCCGCGUUGUAUUAGCUAGUUGGUGAGGUAAAGGCUCACCAAGGCGAAGAUACAUAGCCGAACUGAGAGGGGGAACGGCCCACAUGGGACCGGGACCAGGCCCAAACGCCUUCGGGGGGCAGCAGGAGGGAAUCUUCGGCAAUGGACGAAAGUCUGACCGAGCAACGCCGCGUGAGUGAAGAAGGUUUUCGGAUCGUAAAACUCUGUUGGUAGAGAAGAACGUUGGUGAGAGUGGAAAGCUCAUCAAGUGACGGUAACUACCCAGAAAGGGACGGCUAACUACGUG
rnacentral:rRNA from 1 species